rnacentral:rRNA from 1 species
UACGGGGGGGGCAAGCGUUGUUCGGAAUUACUGGGCGUAAAGGGCUCGUAGGCGGCCAACUAAGUCAGACGUGAAAUCCCUCGGCUUAACCGGGGAACUGCAUCUGAUACUGGAUGGCUUGAGUUCGGGAGAGGGAUGCGGAAUUCCAGGUGUAGCGGUGAAAUGCGUAGAGAUGUGGAGGAACACCGAUGGCGAAGGCAGCCUUCUGGGCCAACACUGACGCUCAUGCACGAAAGCGUGGGGAGCAAACAGG